UACAUUUGAGGAAGGAAGAGCUUCAGGCUAUGGUAUGGUGGCCGGCAACUAUGAAGCUGAAAUCUUGGCAUCGGCGACGGCGUAUCCAGUGGCAUCUCUAUCACCUCUCUUGGCGGAUGCAGGUUGUUUCCGAUGGACGCUUCGGUUGGCUAUUGAGUUGGGUUUUCAGAGAGUUGAGUUCCAAACUGAUUGCUUGCAGCUUUUUAACUGGUGGAAGUCUCGCAGGGAGGGUGUUUCUUUUCUAGCUACUACUGUUAGCGAAUGUCGCUUUUUAAUUUCUGGUUUUGAUGUUUUUACUUUAUCUUUUGUAAGACGUUCUGGUAACGCAGCAGCUGACUGUUUGGCU
rnacentral:lncRNA from 1 species